GAAUAUUUUACCGCCUCCGAGGGAAAAAACAAAUUGUGUGUGAUUUACGCACCGGCGGCGAUGGCUUUUAUUUGUCACGCUGCGAUGAAUUUUAAGCAGGCUUCAGCUGGGACCUCCGCCAGAAUCUCCGCAAGGACCACAAGAGGGCUUUUUGUUCGUUUAGGAGACAUUAAGCGACCUAACGAGCGAACAUUGCAAAUUAAGCCCCUUUUUUCAUGCUUUUGCCGUGUCCUUUUUUUUGAAGGCGGCAGGGAUUCGCGGAACGUGUGUGACCGAAUCAAUGAAGAUCUCGCUAUCUAAUUAAUUUACUACCCCGUUAGCGCUGCUGACACCCGUUAAUUGAGGGGUAAUUAGCGCGGAGCCGCAAUUAUUCCACCCUCCUCUGGAGUGUCAAUCAGAAGCAGUAGGGGGCAGCAUUCAGCUGUAUCCAGCCACCACAAUGGCUGAGGAGAAUGGACAAGAUCAAGACUGUUUACUACAACUCAGAUCAACCGGCCUUUCUUGUUUCUCCAACAAGAUUUUACAUAAGCAGAGGCUGGACCAUUGGCCUUGUUAGGCCACUUUGAAGGACAGCAAAUGGAAUAAUUUUACUCGGACCUGAACCGAGGAUCGCCAGUUUGAUGGAUAUUUCAAAAAAAAGACUGAAAGGUCACGGCGGACUCUCACUUAAUUAUGAAAGAGAGAUCAGCGGGGGACAGAGGGACAGGCACACCGUCACCCACAGUCACCUUUCAUUGUCUUCCCUGACCCCCGAGGAUGAUGUCAUAGAGAAGAGGAUUCUGGAACACGGACCAGAUUAAAGGGCUUGGCUGGGUCUGAA